GCUCUUAAUGCUAUGAAAUUUAUAAUAAAAUGGGCUUUACAAAUCACAUGAAAGAUGUAUUAUGUUUUUCUUUUGCUGACCCCUGUUUAACUUUGGCAGAUGUUAAACACAAUUUAAUCAAAGCUCAAGAGGUAUUAUUCAAUUGGGUUUUCCUGAUGAAGCAGGGCUGGCCAGAUUUGCCAAAGCUGUGAAGAACUCAUCAACUCUGAUGUGAUUAAUUUGUAACAUUACGUGCUAUUUUAAUGCAGUUUUGCAAAAGUUGUGAAAAACACACCUCCUCUGAUGUGAUUAAUUUGUGACAUCACCAGCGUAUACAAAAGCAGGGUCCGUACUGAUCUAGUCACAUUUGCUGGUUUCUGGCAUAUCUGUACCUCCGGAGCCAUUUCAUCUGCUAAGAAGACUCUUUUCAGAAUGAAGCCACUAUUAAUGAAUUGACAGACUCAGAAUGUUUGAGGGCUUAUGAAGAAUGGGAGGUUGACCAGCCAUUUGCUGAUGUUGCUAUUGCCAUAGAGAACCAAUUGACAGACUCAGAAUGUUUGAGGGCAUAUGAAGAAUGGGAGGAUGACCAGCCUUUUGUGGAGUUUACAUACCCCCAAGGGGCCCAGCAUGACAAGAGCCCACCCCAGCCAUGCACAAGCUACACAACACGAAUGCUGUUAGGAGAGCCGGCCUGCAAAAAAGCAAAAAUGCAUGGAAGUGGACUUCCCGCAUCCCCAGCAGACAGCCAUAAAUGUUAUUCCAUGCCUGCAUCUCAAUCAGAAGGGGAGAUAUGUCAUUCUACGCCACAGCUACAAGACCCUAACUCUGCAAACUCUCAGAAUAUGAACAAUGUUUAUCUGGAUAUGGUACAGGAAUGGGAGAAGCCCAUCAGAAAUGUCAGGGCUGUGGAAUAUUAUCAACGCUAUAGCUUUAUUAAUCUUGACUGAAUCCAGUCUUUUGUAGAUGCUAUAGAGGCUAUUCAUAAUGUGAUACAGACUCUUUUGAAUAAUGUUGCUAGGGACAUAGGACCAAACGAUUUUGUUCAACUCCGGCUGGAUGCAGAGGGGUUAAAUCAU